CUAAACCAAUCAUAGCACAUAAAAGAUCUAGAAAUUUCAGGGAUAUUUUGAUCCACUCAGAUAUUAGAAAAUCCAGUAUAGUUCCACGAAACCCAACCACCGGUAACUUUAAAUGUGGUCAUUGUGAUUGCUGUAAGUUUACAAACAAUGUCAAAGAAUUCAUACAUCCCACAUUAAAUAUGAAAAUUAAAUUAAAAAACUAUACCAUCUGUUCAUCUGAGAAUGUGAUCUAUGUACUCUCAUGUCCUUGUAAUAAAUUAUAUGUUGGCAUGACAACCAAAGCCAUAAGGAUUAGAAUACAGGAACACAGAUCACGAAUUAGAAAAGGAAACACAGAAUCCACACUAUACUUACACUUUAAAGACAACACUCAUUCCUGUAACGACCUUAAGUACCUUGCCUUAGAAAAACUACAGACUCCAAUUAACACUGACAUCAAGAAGUUACUCCUCUGCAGGGAGGCUUUUUGGAUCCACAAACUGAAGACCUUAACCCCACAAGGCCUAAACGAUAGGCUAGAUCUCACCUGCUUCUUAUAAUGGGAUAAAAAAAUACUUAAGUCUUUACAGAACUACUACUGAAUGCUCGCAACUUGAGGCAGAAUACUACAUGUAAGGAUCCUCCAAGGACAUAAAUAAGACAGCAGAGCAGCAAACAGAGGGAACUCAAGGAUUACCUGAAGAAGGUCUACCUGAAGAAGGUCACCGAAACUGGAUGCAUACCCGGGAGACCAGUCGUUACUACUGACAUGGAACUUUGUUGCUAUUGAUAUGGAACUUUGAUUUACUAUUGACAUGGAACUUUGAUUUACUUUGAAUGAUCGAAUUUGAAGAAGAGUACUACAAACCUUGAGAACACUAUCAAGAUUAUAUUUGUUAAAAUUGGACAUUGAAAUAUGUACUUAUCUGUACAGUUGGAAUAUAUAAAUUGAUAUUAGUCAUAAUAUAUGUGAUUAUAUCACUUGAGGAAAUAUAGAACUAUAACUUACUUUAAAGUACAAUAUAUACCAUACUUUUCCUUUUUGCUGUAUAUAAUAGACAUCUGUGCAUAAAUCUAUGAGCAAGAGCAAACCUGUAUGGUCAGUAUAAGACAUACCAAAAUACAUGAGUAUAGGUAUGUGCACAAACUCUAAUGUUCAGGAAGUUCCAUGAAAACCAAGGAAAUUCAGUCUAGCUAUUCUUUCUAUAGAAGCAGAACACAGAGGAACAAGAAACGAAGGCCAGAUUGUCUAGGAUUUUUUACAGUGAUCCUCACAGUACUAGAGAAUAACAUAUUAAAAUGCUAUCUCAGGACUGUUGCAAAAGGCUGAAAGGAAACAUAUGAAAGAGUUUUGCUUACAAGAUUAAUUUGUAUGCCACUGUGUUUGCCUUCCUAAAUAGGAGGGGGAAAUGAUUUGUGGAGUCUUAAGCAAGAAGGGUCAGAUUCAUGAUAUAUUUUUCAUGGAGAAACUAUCAUCCUUUAUAGAAUACUUUUUCUCUUUGGUAAUGGGCUAUAAAAACAAAGUUUCCAGUGGUUUGGCAAUAAUUCUUAUUAUAGUCCUAAUGAUUUACUAUAUGAUUUCUAGCCUCCUUCUAUGCAAUACUGCAUGCUGCUCUGUAACUUUUUCCUAACUUGAGUCUGUUUGUCACCUUGAAUUCAUUUUUGAUUCAUUUUUAAAAGCAUAAACUUAUCAUGGAUCUAUA